rnacentral:rRNA from 1 species
GACGAACGCUGGCGGCGUGCUUAACACAUGCAAGUCGAACGGAAAGGCCCUGCUUUUGUGGGGUGCUCGAGUGGCGAACGGGUGAGUAACACGUGAGUAACCUGCCCUUGACUUUGGGAUAACGUCAGGAAACUGGGGCUAAUACCGGAUAGGAGCUCCUGCUGCAUGGUGGGGGUUGGAAAGUUUCGGCGGUUGGGGAUGGACUCGCGGCUUAUCAGCUUGUUGGUGGGGUAGUGGCUUACCAAGGCUUUGACGGGUAGCCGGACUGAGAGGGUGACCGGACACGUUGGGACUGAGAUACGGCACAGACUCCUACGGGAGGCAGUAGUGGGGCAUAUUGCACCAUGGGCGGACGCCUGAUGCAGCAACGACGCGUGCGGGAUGACGGCCUUCGGGUUGUAAACCGCUUUCGCCUGUGACGAAGCGUGAGUGACGGUAAUGGGUCAAGAAGCAGCGGCUACCUAGGUG